UAAGGAAUAUUGGUCAAUGGACGCAAGUCUGAACCAGCCAUGCCGCGUGAAGGAUGAAGGUCCUCUGGAUUGUAAACUUCUUUUAUCUGGGACGAAAACGGGAUUUUUAUCUCAAUUGACGGUACCAGAGGAAUAAGCACCGGCUAACUCCGUGCCAGCAGCCGCGGUAAUACGGAGGGUGCGAGCGUUAUCCGGAUUUACUGGGUUUAAAGGGUGCGUAGGUGGGCUUAUAAGUCAGUGGUGAAAUCUCCGAGCUUAACUUGGAAACGGCCGUUGAUACUAUAGGUCUCGAAUUAUCUGGAGGUAAGCGGAAUAUGUCAUGUAGCGGUGAAAUGCGUAGAUAUGACAUAGAACACCGAUUACGAAGGCAGCUUACUACAUAUAAAUUGACGCUGAGGCACGAAAGCG
rnacentral:rRNA from 1 species